AGGAUCAUUAUUGAAAUAAACCUGACGAGUUGCUGCUGGCUCUUAGAGCAUGUGCACACUUGUCAUCUUUAUAUCUCUACCUUUGUGCAUCUUUUGUAGGCCUGGGUAUCUUUCUGAGUUGUUAGCAACUCAGGUUUGAGGUUAGAUUUAAAUAAUCUUUCUUUACAUUUUGCAGGCCUAUGUUCCUUUUAUCUAUACCCCAUCAUAAUGUUCUAGAAUGUAAUAAAAUGGGCCUUUGUGCCUAUAAACAUUUUUUAAUACAACUUUCAGCAACGGAUCUCUUGGCUCUCGCAUCGAUGAAGAACGCAGCGAAAUGCGAUAAGUAAUGUGAAUUGCAGAAUUCAGUGAAUCAUCGAAUCUUUGAACGCACCUUGCGCUCCUUGGUAUUCCUUGGAGCAUGCCUGUUUGAGUGUCAUUAAUAUUAUAUCAACCUCUUCAAUCCCUUGGCUUGUUGAGUGUUGGAUUUAUGGGGGUUUGCUGGUUUCUCUUUCUUGAGGUCAGCUCCCCUGAAAUGCAUUAGCUGAACAAUUUGUAGACUUGUUCAUUGGUGUGAUAAAUUUUAUCUACGCUACUGACAACAAAAGCAAGCUCAGCUUCUAAUAGUCUAUUAACUUGGACAAUAUUCAUAUCAAAAUGUGACCUCAAAUCAGGUAGGACUACCCGCUGAACUUAAGCAUAUCAAUAAGCGGAGGAAAAGAAACUAACAAGGAUUCCCCUAGUAACUGCGAGUGAAGCGGGAAAAGCUCAAAUUUAAAAUCUGGCAGUCUCUGGCUGUCUGAGUUGUAAUCUAGAGAAGUGUUAUCCGCGUUGGACCGUGUACAAGUCUCCUGGAAUGGAGCAUCAUAGAGGGUGAGAAUCCCGUCUUUGACACGGACUGCCAGGGCUUUGUGAUGCGCUCUCAAAGAGUCGAGUUGUUUGGGAAUGCAGCUCAAAAUGGGUGGUAAAUUCCAUCUAAAGCUAAAUAUUGGCGAGAGACCGAUAGCGAACAAGUACCGUGAGGGAAAGAUGAAAAGAACUUUGGAAAGAGAGUUAAACAGUACGUGAAAUUGCUGAAAGGGAAACGCUUGAAGUCAGUCGCAUUGGCCAGGGAUCAACCUUGCUUUUGCUUGGUGCACUUUCUGGUUAAAUGGGUCAGCAUCAAUUUUGAUCAUUGGAAAAAGGUCAAGGGAAUGUGGCAUCCUUGGAUGUGUUUAUAGCCCUUGGUUGCAUACAGUGGUCGGGAUUGAGGAACUCAGCACGCCGCAAGGCCGGGUUUAAAACUACGUACGUG
rnacentral:rRNA from 1 species